GGGGACGUAGCUCAGAUGGUAGAGCGCGGCGUUCGCAAUGCCGAGGUCGGGAGUUCGAUCCUCCUCGUCUCCACCA
rnacentral:tRNA from 1 species